AAUGAACGCUGGCGGCAUGCCUUACACAUGCAAGUCGAACGGCAGCAUGACCUAGCUUGCUAGGUUGAUGGCGAGUGGCGAACGGGUGAGUAAUGCAUCGGAACGUGCCUUUUAGUGGGGGAUAACGAAGCGAAAGUUACGCUAAUACCGCAUAUUCUCUGAGGAGGAAAGCAGGGGACCUUCGGGCCUUGCGCUAGAAGAGCGGCCGAUGUCGGAUUAGCUAGUUGGUGAGGUAAAGGCUCACCAAGGCAACGAUCCGUAGCGGGUCUGAGAGGAUGAUCCGCCACACUGGGACUGAGACACGGCCCAGACUCCUACGGGAGGCAGCAGUGGGGAAUUUUGGACAAUGGGCGCAAGCCUGAUCCAGCCAUGCCGCGUGAGUGAAGAAGGCCUUCGGGUUGUAAAGCUCUUUCGGCUGGGAAGAAAUCGCACCCUCUAAUACAGGGUGUGGAUGACGGUACCAGCAUAAGAAGCACCGGCUAACUACGUG
rnacentral:rRNA from 1 species